AGCGAACGCUGGCGGCGUGCUUAACACAUGCAAGUCGAGCGGUAAGGCCCUUCGGGUACGACGAGCGGCGAACGGGUGAGUAACACGUGGGUAACCUGCCCUGUACUCUGGGAUAAGCCUUGGAAACGAGGUCUAAUACCGGAUACGACCUUCUACCGCAUGGUGGAGGGUGGAAAGUUCCGGCGGUAUGGGAUGGACCCGCGGCCUAUCAGCUUGUUGGUGGGGUAAUGGCCUACCAAGGCGACGACGGGUAGCCGGCCUGAGAGGGUGAUCGGCCACACUGGGGA
rnacentral:rRNA from 1 species